AGUUUUGUGCAGUCACAGUAUCGUAGCCAAAGAGGUUUAUCUGAGGCACAGUAAUUGCUAAUUGAAAAAAUUUCUCAAGAUGAAUUAAUUUUGUAAUCAGAAAAAAUUCCAUUCUUUUAUGCUAAACUAUAGAAUGGGGAGU
rnacentral:snRNA from 1 species